GACGAACGCUGGCGGCGUGCUUAACACAUGCAAGUCGAGCGGAAAGGCCCUUUCGGGGUACUCGAGCGGCGAACGGGUGAGUAACACGUGAGUAAUCUGCCUCUGGCUUCGGGAUAGCCACCGGAAACGGGGAUUAAUACCGGAUAUGACGCAUCACUGCAUGGUGUGUGCGUGGAAAGUUUUUUCGGCCGGGGAUGUGCUCGCGGCCUAUCAGCUUGUUGGUGGGGUAAUGGCCUACCAAGGCUUCGACGGGUAGCUGGUCUGAGAGGAUGGUCAGCCAGACAGGGACUGAGACACGGCCCUGACUCCUUUGGGGGGCAGCAAUGAGGGAUAUUGCGCAAUGGGGGCAACCCUGACGCAGCGACGCCGCGUGGGUGAUGAAGUCCUUCGGGAUGUAAAGCCCUUUUGCCGGGGACGAGACAGGACGGUACCCGGCGAAUAAGCCCCGGCUAACUACGUGCCAGCAGCCGCAGUAACAC
rnacentral:rRNA from 1 species